UAAGGAAUAUUGGACAAUGGAGGCAACUCUGAUCCAGCCAUGCCGCGUGAAGGAUGAAGGCCCUAUGGGUCGUAAACUUCUUUUGUACGAGAGAAAACCUAUUUACGUGUAGAUAGUUGAUAGUAUCGUAAGAAUAAGGAUCGGCUAACUUCGUGCCAUCAGCCGCGGUAAGACGAAGGAUCCAAGCGUUAUCCGGAUUCAUUGGGUUUAAAGGGUGCGUAGGCGGAUUUGUAAGUCAGUGGUGAAAGCCGAUAGCUCAACUAUCGAACUGCCAUUGAUACUGCAGAUCUAGAAUAUAGAUGAUGUUGGCGGAAUAUGACAUGUAGCGGUGAAAUGCAUAGAUAUGUCAUAGAACACCGAUUGCGAAGGCAGCUGACAAAACUAUUAUUGACGCUGAUGCACGAAAGUGCGGGGAUCAAACAGGAUUAGAUACCCACGUAGUCCCUGAGCGGGCUGGCAAGGCGCAU
rnacentral:rRNA from 1 species